ensembl:lncRNA
CCUCCAUAGUGACAGUCAUACGUCUCGUCAAUGAUGCUGUUGAUAAUAUUGAAAGUGAAGGUAUGAAAGAAUAUCCUCUGCUAACUCCGCUGUCUAUUUUGUGUCUGUCUUCUGACGCCAGAGUGUUUGUUCAGUGGUGUAACACUAAGAUACAAUGUUCUGAAUUGCGGCCGAGAAGCUGCUGUUCAAUCCCCUAUUCCAUUCAGAAUAAAGCAUCCCGCUUAGAUUUCCAAUAUUUUUGUCAGUUUCCAACACUGGAUCUCUCUGUAUUUAAAUCCCCACCCCCAUUGGUUUCUGUAUUGUUUGUCUCAGUCUUUCUCUGACUUUUUCUCUUUCUCUCUCCUUUUGUAGUGUCGAACAUGGACAAAGAGCAGCGGCGGAACAGCCCUGCCUACCGCUGGGAGUCUUCCAGUCAGACCACGAGCUGGCUGUCACCAUCGCGUCUGCGUCCGCCAGAGGUGGGAUCCCAUUACGACCUCAGCGACACCCAGCAGAACAUCAGACGAGGAGGCAGCACGCGUUCUCUCCAGCUGGACUACAGAGUGAUGGGCCAUGGUGGUGACAGGGGCCAAGAGCGGGGACGGGAGACCGAGAAGAGGGCCUUCCAGUGGGAGAGGAAUCAGUCGGGCGAGUGGGUAAGGAAACGCAUCCUGGAAAGAGAAGAAAAGAGGCAUCACGACGGGGAAGGAAAGAACACAGGCAACAGGAGCAGAGACAUGGGGGCAUGCCAGGACCACAGAGACCGUCAGCAGACGCACGGCCAUGACAGCUGCGAAGACAGCUCCUCGCCCGUUUAUGAGGAAUACCGCGAGUCCGGCCAGGACCUGGAGCAAAGCGAAGACACGGAGAGCCUUUAUGAUACUCUACCCCCGACCCGACCAGCCUACGAAGGAUACCCGUCCAGCCCCCCAGGCAUCAACCUGCAUCCAGCUCAGCUCCUGCCCCCCCUCAGGGCGUGGGACUUACAGACAGGGGAGUGGAGGGAGUCGCAGGAGGAUCGCGGAGGGGGGCUCGGCUCCAGCGGUCUGGCAGGUUCCGGGGACGAGCUAGAGAGACUACUGAACUUGGUGUCGCUCCGAGCCAGGAGAGCCACGCGAAUAAACAGAGCCUCGACCAAAUCUGAACCCACGGACUGGGAUGGAUUUAAAUGAGCACACAAGACUGUUUCAAAUGAAUAGAUUUAAUAAUCCUUUAUACAUGAAAAGAGAGGGAGGGAAGCUCUCUGAUUAUACGUGACAUUUAUGUAUACUACUACACCGUUGGUCCACCACCUCAAAAUAAUUAAAGGAGAAUAUUACCAUAUAUACUUGUAUUAUCCGGCAUUAUUAUCCCGCUGCAAGCAAACACUAAUCCACCACCAAUCCCCCGGCUCAUUUUUCUAAGCCAGAGGAAUAAGAGAAAGUGUAUGUGCUGUGCGGACGCCUUCACCUGUGCCGCAAGUUAGGCGAGAUUGGCUGUGAAUCAAUGCUAUUACAUUUAUUAUUUAUGGAAUUGCUGGAGCGCAGCAUUUAUUAACAUCAAAAUAUGAUGGGGAGCCAGGCUGCCUCUUUUCGUCUUAGACGGUGCCAACGCAUGUACAUAUGCUAUCGCGCAUUUCAUACAUCGUUCCGUCGAGGUUGCACGCGCACCUACGCACGCACGCACGCGGUCGUCUGAUCAGCUCAACCAUGUAAUGCAUUUCUUCUUUUCUGUUGACGCACGCUCUGGGUUGUUUUGGAGGAAAACACACAUCCCAGACGCCUGCCUCUGAGAUGCUAUUAAGAUUACCAUUAGUUGAUGCCAGGAGAUCGUUAUUUAAUCCCCCCCCCCAAAAAAAUUAAUUAUUUGAUGAUUAUUUAUUUAAUAAUUACACUAUUAAUUUGUUUGGUUGCCUGUGAGCUUCCCGCUUAAGAACACAAGCAUCAUCGGGGGGGAUCAUGUAACUAUGAUUCACAGCACUUAAGGUAAUGCAGCCGUGACAUAUGUUUUUAUUUUCACCCAUGCAAAUCAGCAAUGGCUUUGACCUCUUGUUUUGGCCCGUGCAUAUUCCCUCAUAAACGCGGAUCCUGAUGUAUAUUUACCGUGUAUAUAACACCAGCGCAGAGCUUUUAGCGGUGCUCCAGAUGGAAUUUAGCCCACUUCACACCUGGCGUUAACAUGCCGUAUGAAUUUUCAGACCUCGUGCGCUGAAAAAGGCUUCGAGAAUGAUGUGGAAACGCAGCCGUGAAGUGCAGAGUCACUCACCCAAGACAUCACGGUCGCCUCGUUGACAACGCCGUGCAAAUGCUGCUGUGUUCCCGGUUCACAACCACACGUUCGUAGCAAAACAGGGCGUAGGUGACUACUUCGAGAGUAUUUAAGGACUAAAUCUCUGCUGUCAUUUUUUUUUUUUUACAGUUUGCUGCAAUGACCUGCCUCCAUCUCACACUUACCAUGUAUCCUCUGGUAAACAUGACUAAUUGUGUUUUAAUUUGAAAUGGAAAUAAAUGCCUUGUGGUGUAGAAAACAUGCACAUGUUACUCAGCCAAAAAUAUUCCUAUUCAAACGAUGUUCUGGGCUCCUCAGAGAUUAGAGUACCGUCCACGUCAGACAGAGAGUACUGUACAUGUGUCUUAAUGAAGAUGCAUCCGCUCAUUCAUCCUCUUUGCUCAUUCAUAUUCAGGUCUGCUCUCUAAGUGGGCUGCUGAAGCGUGACCCAGCUCGCAUCGGGCUACAGGCGGAGAAACAUCCCGGACAGGUCAGACUAACACAUGCAGGGAGGAAGAAGAAGGGAAAAAAACAAAACAAAAAACAUUCACACCUGUGGGCACUUUACACUUUCCGGUUCACCUGGCCUGCAUGACUUGUGGAAGGGAAACCCUGCAGGAAUACUGUGAGAACAUGCGAACAGAGCAGCAGCUUCCAACGGCUGAAAUUUAAACCUCAGUUCUGUGAAUCAACACCGCCAACACGGGAGACGCCUUCUCUGUGCGCCUUUCAAGUUUUGCAGAUUUUGGGGUUACUUCAGGUCGUUGUCGGUUAUG